GCAGCAGAUCUCUGUUGAACACAAGUCUCGUUUGACAGAUAAAUGUGUUAAGUAUGAGUGAAAAAUAAACCCCAUGAUGAUAUUAAAAAAUGCCUUGCAUGGAUAGUUGUGCUCCAUCUCUGGCACCUCCUAAAGUCUUUCUUCUUGCAGGGAAGCUAGCACUGAAACGGAGGAACGAGUGGGAAUCUGUGUAUGUUGGAAACACUGUGGUUCUUGACUGCGGUGUAGACGGAGAUUGCACUGACUCUCAGUAUCUCUGGUUCAAGUGGUGUGCGGCAGAGUCGAGUAAACAGCUUGAAGGAGUCACUGGAUGCAGCUACACGAUCCACUCUGCAGCACUCUCUGACAGCGGAGAAUACUGGUGUUAUUCCCCUAGAGAGGAUCCGCCAUACAGCAAUGGUGUCUCAUUGACUGUUCAAGAUUAUGAUGUGGGCAACACCCUUCGACUUGGAUUAUCGGGUCUGGUGCUAAUUUUGAUUCUGGUCAUUGCAAGGAUGCUUUUCUAGAAAUCCAGACAAGAUUCAUUAGAACCGAGGCCACCCUGUAAAGCACAGCCAUCGUCUUUGUCGUCACCAUAUCUGAGAGCAGGCAGACCAACGCUUGCAUCACAAGCUUUGACACGCCACCUAAAAGUCCAGGCGUCUUACACCUGAAAUCUGUCAGCCUUGUGCCUUCUCUGGCUGAUUGUUCUCAUCAUUGUUUUGCAUAACACGGGUGAUGGCUACAACAAAACCACAGUGCAAACAAACAAAAGACUAAACUGGACUUGAACUUGAAUGUAAACUACAUUUUCUAAAAUGUUAUUUGGCUUCAGGGACAUUUGCUGCAAUAUCUGUCUACAUGGCUUCCUCUGUUCUUGACAUGUUUUAUAUGCAAAUCCAUUCAUUUUUGCUUUUAAAUAAACUAAUAAAGAACA